rnacentral:rRNA from 1 species
GAUGAACGCUAGCUACAGGCUUAACACAUGCAAGUCGCGGGGCAGCGAUUCACUUAGCUUGCUAAGUGAGAUGGCGACCGGCGCACGGGUGAGUAACGCGUAUCCAACCUGCCCAUCACUUGGGAAUAACCUUGCGAAAGUAAGACUAAUGCCCAAUGACAUUUAUAGAAGGCAUCUGAAAUGAAUUAAAGAUUUAUCGGUGAUGGAUGGGGAUGCGUCUGAUUAGCUUGUUGGCGGGUAACGGCCCACCAAGGCGACGAUCAGUAGGGGUUCUGAGAGGAAGGUCCCCCCANAUUGGAACUGAGACACGGUUCAAACUCCUACGGGGAGGCAGCAGUGAGGAAUAUUGGUCCAAUGGGGCGAGAGCCUGAACCAGCCAAGUAGCGUGCAGGAUGACGGCCCUAUGGGUUGUAAACUGCUUUAUAGGGGAAUAAAGUGAGCCACGUGUGGCUUUUUGCAUGUACCCUAUGAAUAAGGACCGGCUAAUUCCGUGCCAG